CCGGAGAAGGCCAGGACGGCGGCGAGGGCGGGAGGCUCCAUAGGCAGCGGCCGCCGGGCCGCGCCGCGCUCGCAGGCGGCAGCCCCGGCUCUCCGGGGGUGGCAGGCGGCCGGGAAGAGCGCAAAGUGCGGGAAGCGGAGGCCCUACAGCAUGUGUCCUUCUUUUUGGCAGAAGAAUAGAGGAAUAAUAUCUGACCUAUUGAGAGAGCUCCCAAUAGGCUUUGUUGCAUUAGAUGCAGUAAGCUCAAAGCAGAAUGUAGAGGACAGAGUUUUUAAUUCCAUUCGCUGUCCAAUGGAUGAGGAGGAAAACCAUUGCUCUACAAACAAGUGAAAGAGGACAUAGAAACCAUGGACACUGGAUCCACCUGUUAGAACACUUGACAAAAGUAUGCUGAAAAAAGCGUUGAAAUGCAUGCACCUAGAGACACUUCUAACUGUCCACGGGCUCCAUCAGAAUGAGAGGCUGAUAUGUAUAACUGACCUUUCAGGUCCAUCCAAGUUUGUUCAGAGAAGCUGAGAACCCUCUGGUUCAGGAGGACCUCCAGGUGCAAAUCCUCAGAGUAGCGCACUUCAAUCACAUCAGAGCUGUUCUCCUGCAUGGCCACUGCAGACAAGCCUGUUCCCUGAGCCCCAGUUCCUUCCAAAUGAAAAAAAAAAAACCAGUGCUAUCAAAAUGCUGGCAGCUGUGCCUAUUGACUGAUUUCUAGAACUGGCCUUAUGUUUCCUUAUUGAUGAGAAUGGGCAUGGAGAGAAAUAAGAAUUUUUUUGGAGCUCUUAAACACAGUGGAAAGCUUUACAUUGCCAUUACUCACACGCAAUAAAACUAGCAAUUAAACUUUGAUUGAGAAGUUUUUCCUGAAGAUGUCUGCUUUCUGAUUAUCUUGAGAAUGAUGACUGUUCACAAAUGGCCAAACAAGAAAACUAGAGAUGACAGAGACGACAAGACGAUGGCUGCUAAGUGCAAAUUGAGCAAAUAUCAAACCUCAGCUCUGCAAAUCUCAGAAGUUCAGAAGCUCUGCUUCCUCUCUUACCAACUUACCAUUGGAAAAGUGUGCCUGCUGUGUCCUCCCUUGCACUCUCAGGGAUGUGAGAUCAGACUCUACCAAUGUGUAUUCUCCUAGGCCAUUGAAGGUGAAGUUCAGACCAUCAAAUGUAAAGAAAUGAGGAUCCCCAAAAGCAGAUGCUAUUUUUAAAAGCAAAAAGAGAAUUAAGAAGCAAAAAUCACAACCUGUUACUCCUCAAGUUCAUGAGAAAGGAAAGAGGCUAGAAGUCUGUGCCACAUGCAAUAUAUGGGGAGAUUUGGACAUGAAUACAGGGCUAUUGCCUUAUCUUUGCAUCCAUAUCCUUUGCACCUUUAUCCCCUUUUGCAUUUCCAACUUCCAUGUAAAUUGCUCCAAGUUGCUUCUAAUUUAUUUUUUGUAUGCUUUAUUCUGUCUAGUAACUAAUACAAUGCACCUUGCCAUCAAGUUGUAAAGUUGUAUUUUCUCAAAUUCAAGCUCUGCUUCUGCCAAUACUUUUGAUGGGACUUCUUUAAGCAGCCAGACCACCCAUUCAUGACCCCUAACUACCUAAUGCAAGGCCCUCUACAGUUUUCUCCUUUUUUUCUGGUGCAAACUGCUGCCUCUUUGCAAUUGUUUAUGGGAGGCCAAGUCCUGCUGGACACCUCAGCAUCUCAGCAGCAUAGAAGGCAAAAUGGGGCAGCAACAGAGGUAUGGCAAGACUUGAUGACUGAGUUGAAAGCAAGUGAGAGAAAACCAGACACACUUUUUCUCCCCACUUUUUCCCAUGAAAUGGAGCCUGAGUCUCAGUUUUGAAUGCCAAAGGAGACACCAGCUUAUAAGGUCUCAGUGAAAGUGACCACAAGCUGUGCAGAGCUCUGCACAUGAGUUAUGUGUGUGAUAAAUGCUUGCAGGAAAAGGGUCACUUUACCUGUUUCCUGGUAUCCCCAGACUUCUAUGUUGACGUGGGUUGCUGCAAGUGUCUGGCGUGUCCAGGUAAGAGUUAAGUUUCCACCGGUGUUGGAGGUGCCAUAGUAUUGCCAUUUUGUCUCAUUUACCAAUGUGCAUUUUUCUUUAUCUGAAACUUUGCUGUGAUGUACUGCAUUGCAGAGAAGAGAAAGAGGGCUAAUGACAUUUUGGCUUUGCAGAGUCCUGAAAAAAUGCUACUGUAUUAUUUAAGAUUUAGCAGGAUUUCCCCUGGGUAUGUUUUACACAGCACAGGAUGCAUGACAUGAAAAGAAUAAACUGAAGCUGAGAGAAUGCAACCCUUACUAAUAUCUGCAGUCCUUACAUUGCAACACCACAAUGCAAUUAUUUGAAGAGGGGACAAAAAGGAAUAGAAGUAGGGAUGAAGUGGGAACUGUUUUGGUCAACCUAAUUUUUAAGCAGGAGUUUUUAUCAGUUAAUGCUGCUGGUGCUACUCAAUUGCUGUGCAAGUUCAUCUCUCAAAAGAUGAAUUAACAUGAGGCUAGUGAGACUUCCUUUUCUGAGGCCUGUUAAGGAAGAAUAAAACUGAUCAAAAGGAAAAGACUUAUCAAUCUUGCAUGCAUGGAGGAAGAAUAUAGGAAGAAGAGGGAUGCUGUAGAUAUAAGUACCUGAUAACCAAGUUCCAGAGUAGGGAAAUGUUGACCCAGCAUCUCUAGAAACUUCAAAAGGGAUGAAACCAGUCUCAUAAAGCAAUGGGGAGAUGCAGUGGGCUUUUCCAUCCUUGUCAAUAUAGCCACUGGUUAUGAUUUGCUGCUUGAACCUGUAGAUGUUGAAAACACUUUUCAGUGUCACCACAGAUAGAAGGAAAAUUCCGAAUGUGCUUCAACAAGCAACCUUGUGUCAUGUAUGGAUCAUUUCAAGUCUGGGGCUGUUUUGCUUGUAGCAGGGAAUAUAAACUGGAAAAAUCUGCUCAUUACAUGAAUGUGAAUUCUGCUGUGAACUGCACAAAUAUACAGCAAUCCACAAACCUUCAACUUACUAUUUAAUUACUGGGAGAGUGAGACAUGAUUAAUUAGCAACAAAGGGGCAAGAGGAAGAGAAAAUAACAUUAUAGCAUUAGUAGGAUCACAGGGUGGCUAACAAUGACCAUGAUUUGCAGUUAUUGCAAAUUUCUGAUUUGUUUUUUUUUUUUUCCCUGGUAAGUCCUGUGAGGGCAACGAAAGUAAUUUCAUGCUGUUCUAGACUUUCUGUUGCAAAGGUUAACUCAGAAGGCACUGCUUGUUAUUUAACCAUUUGAUUCCAGUUAGGGCUCUUGCCCAGAGUCCUAGGGGAUAACCCCACCUGUGAUUCUUCAAGACUGAUAUACGGGGACUGAAUAUCUAUCUACUCCAAGUGUCAGAGGGAGCUGGGGCUUGCCAGGAAAUAGUACCUUUGCUUUUCUGCACUGGAAUUUGCCUUGGCUAUAAUUAUGUAACUCUGCAAGUACUUUGAAGUACACAGUUGUGUUCUACAGAAUGAAUGCCUUGGUCAAAGGUUUUCCAAAUAAAGAAUUGAAAACCUGUUCACGGCUGCUACCCAGAUGGGAAGAACUCCAAAUUCUCACUCAGAACCUUCUGUGGAAAUAAUAGCACAACAUCUGGGUCAUCAAAAUUCAGUGUACUGUAUGUAUUGCAUGUGCCACAUGCACCUAAGUGUGAUACAGGCUGACACAUUUGGGAUCCACAAUUUUCUCUUACGGGAAAAACAUCAGCUGUCCUACCUACAUUUCUGUCUUGCUGCUUUCUCAUUCAGAUUAAGAAAUAAAUACUUCUUUCCCACAAAGGGAAAUGCUAAAGAAAUAUUGACAAUCAAGUGCCCUGAAAGGAAACUCCUUUCAAAAGUCACUGUUUUAAUAUGUUAAGGGAAGAAUGAGCCGAGUCAUGAUUGUCCCACACAAUAACUCCACCUAAAAAAACCAAUCCUGUGUAGAAAUACAGUCAACAGGUGAGAGGGUGAGAGUGAGCAGAACUUUUGUACAUUUCUAACAACUUUGGAAAGUUUUCACUCCUGUAUAGACUGGUCUUGUUUUGUGUUAAUUGCCUGUUGUUGGAGAGUGAGAUUAUACAGUUUUGCCUUCCUUUGGCAGAGGAAUAUAAAAUCAUGGCCCACCUGCAUUUUAGCACAGAAGAGGGAUCAAAAGCUGUGUUGUUAAUCAAAAAGUCUUUGCCUCCCAUAAGAGAUCCUGAGUAUGGAGAAAUUUGAAGACAGAAUUCUUUAUAAUCAGGACAGCAUGUCCCCAAGGACUGGCAUGUCACCUGGCAAGAACAGGUACCAAGCAGCUCCCCACAGUGCUGUGCACAAGAGUCUUGAGCUCCUUGUUAAAGGAAGAAAAAAAAAGAGUCAGGAAUGUUAUUCAACUCUUCUAGAUGUUCUCUGAAGCACAAGUACAUCACCCAAAGGACUGCUGUAAGUAAAUAAAAUGCCCUGGUUAUGUUAGUUUAGGAAUGUGUUUAGGUGAAGGUUGUAAUCACCUGCAUAUUAAGGUUGCUUCAUUUUGAAUAGCAAAAUACAUUUAUUUACCUCCCAGACAGUAUAUAAUUUCAUUAAUUCCAUGGGUAUUUUUACAUGGCAUAGACAGAUAAAUCUCCAGAGCAGCCCCUCAGUGAGGGUCACUAAUUACAUUUAUUUUUGAGAAUAAGUCUUAAACAUACCAGAACAGGGGAAAGUUAAGAUCAGCAAUGAAAUGGGCUCCAACACAAGUUUAUUAAGAGCUACUGAAAUGUCUGUGUUUUGUGCAUUUUAUUUGAGUCUGGCCUUAACAAGGCAGAUACACAGGUGAGUAGGCUCUUGGCUUACAGACUAUCAGUAAUUACUGGACAUCACAUGGGAAACUACUCAACAAAUAAAACAGUGAGAAGAAGACAAGACAUUACAGCAACACUGUCAAAAAUAGCAGAUAUUUAAGGGGGAGUUAAUUGAGAUGAACAAGCUGCAGAGACAGCUGGGAGCACUGAGGACCUUUUGGGAUGCGGAAUCUUGCAAGGACAACACUGCUGGGGAACUAUAUCAAGAAUACCAUGCAAUGCUGAGAUGAUCUAGGUAAGUAUCAGAAAUUCUAAACUUGGACAUGGAUCUUGCAGAACUGGAACCAAUUAUGAAAAGGUAACUAAGGGAGGAUUGAUUAUUUGGCAGGACACAAGCAAAAAGAAAGGCAGGGAUCAAGGUGGGUGGUGAAGAACAAGCACAGAAAAAUGCAAAGAAAGGAAGUAAAAACACUUGUUCAAUAUGGGAAGCUAGGAAGUUUUUCUCUGUCUUUAAAUGUAUUUGCUCCAUUCCCCAGAUUGUCUGUUUACUUACAGAAGAGAUCUACUGGCCUGCUGGAAAUUACAGAGGAAGGGAUUGAAAAUGAAACCAUGCAGGUAAAAGCUGGCCUGUGUGCCUUUGCUUUAGCUUGUAAAGAUGGUAUCAACAAUUUCUUACCAAGGUGUGUAUUCUGCAGUAGAUAAGUCAAAAAAGUUUGCAGUUAAAAGCAGCAAAAUGUUUGAAAAUCACUUACCUGCAUUCCAAAGAGCAGUGAGGGUGGAAAGAAUAAAGAAAGAAACAUCCAAGCCAAUGAAUUUCAUAUUUUGUCCAGAUGAUUCAGGAUGGCUGAUUGUGGUAGUCUCUGUGCUAGUCUGGAAAAAGCCUUCAAUGGGAACGGGUGUCCAGAAAUAAACAAGAUUCUCGCUGUUCAAAGGUUUGUUGCAAAUUACUGAAGCAAAACAAAUGGAAUGAAAUGCUCCAUUUCAGAGGUCAUCUCCAAUCCAGGAAAAGAUUGAAGGGGAGAUAGUCACUGCAACUCCUUCACAUUAACAGUCAAGUUUUUCUGAAAGGGGGGUAGAUGUUUAUUGUUUUAUGAGCAUUUCUGCUUCAAAGAUCAAGGCCAUGGGGUCAUUGGCAAAAGUUCUAUGCCUUAAUUUUGCUGGAGGAACUAAAACCUGUUAUCACUUAGGUGAAUGAUAAAGAAUACAUGCUGACAGUACAGUUUAGUUCAGAAGAUAAUGAGAUAUUGAGGAAGCAUGCUUACUGCACUGGAUGUGACAGCAUGAAGGCUGAUUUAAAUGAAGGUAGACGCCUCCUUUUCCAUCAUUUUAAUAGGUUAAAUUGAAGAAAACUCACCCCUUUUCAUCAUUUUAAGGGCUUAAAUCAGAGGAUUCCCCUCCGUUUCAGAGCACUUCUGCCUAUUCCCCAGCACCACGUCUCUCGUGUGGGAGCAGUCCUUGGAUAGAUGCAAUUUUGGAGGUGGAAUUGAAAUUCCAGCAAUGACAGCUCCUUCCCAUAGGAAGGAAAGCAGGUAGCCCCAAAGUCUCCGGUGCAGGUGACAGGCUGUCCUGGGGAGGUGAAGCCCCCAAGUCCUCUCUGUCCUGGCAGCUUUUGUCUGGGAGCAAUCCUCGGAUAUAUUGAAUUUUGUGGGUGGAAUCCGAGCGGCGGGCACAUGAGCAGUGCCUGGAAUGACUCGCUGGUGGCACCUGGUGACUCACAGCGCUACUGCAAAGCAGAAAUCAGCCCCUGUGCAGCGCUUGCAAGGGAUAUUCGUGCUCAGAAACUGCAAACCAUCAACAUGCACAGGAGCAAGAAAUUUCAGGCUGGAGCUGGGCUCUGAAAGCAAGGGAGCUGCAAGUGUUUCUUUGGAUAAACCCAUAUGGAGAAAUUCCCUCUUUGUCUCAUCAGUCUGGGUCUGUAGGACUGAAUCUUUGCAAUUAAGAGACAAUAGAGUUGUUAGUAGCACUUAAACCUCCCAAAUGUUUUUAUAUCUCAGGGAACUGGCCGGCACUGAGCUACUCCCAUGUGCCUGGAGAGAUCUGGGGAGGAGCAAGGUGAUGUCCCACUUCUGUCUGGAAAAAGUGGCAAGAAAAUAAAAAAAAAGUAGUUUCCCUUCUCUCUCUCUGAUCCAUAACUGAAGCAGUUCUGAGGACAACAUGGACAUCACUGCUCUCCCCCAGUUUGGGUGAAAUAUUAAUAUAAUUUAUAAAUAUUCCCUCUCCCUGCUGCUCAGUCCUUCAUUGCACAGAGAGCAGAUUUACUCCAUCUUUUGUUCCCAACAACACCUUUCCAGCCCAAAUCCCAGUUCUCCCAGGCACAAACUAAACAGACCCAAGGCAUUGGUCCUAUUAUUGCCUGGAAUUCCCAGCCCUAUGUUCCCUGGAUUCUUCAAGCAAACCCUGACAGCAGUCUCACCUCAGCCCAGAGACUGAGCUCAGACCAAGCCCAGCACCAGUGCUGGUGGUUCAGAUCACAAAGAUGUAGGAGCAGCAAUGCUGGGCCCUGCUGGGAUGGCCAUGGCAUGGCUCUCCCAGUGCCACUGCUCCUGGAACUGUAGGCUCUCUCAAGCCUAAGCCUAGCCCCAGCUCUCACAAAAAGGAAUGCCUUGUGUAGGCUGUUGAGUCCUCUACUGGAAGAGAGGGAUCAGCUCAUCAGGAAUGCACUUCCUUCAUCUCUCUUGGCUCUGGAGCACCUUCAUUAUCAUGCACAACCAGGACAAACAAGUGAGAUUGGAAACCCUCUAAGCAAAAUCCGUGCUCGGGCGAGUAGAGCUUUGCAGGACCCAUACUAAUCCUGCUCUACAAAGCACAUUCCAAACAUUUGGCACCUUCUGCAUUUAUGGAAAUAAAGGAAGUCAUGUCCCUACUGGCCUUCACCUCCUUCAGGGGUAUAGAUGGGCCCUGCCUCUCAAAGCUCUUGGCCCAGUGAGCCUGCCAGGGAAGCAAGCUCAUGGCUGCCCUUGGAACCCGUCUCUAAAUAGUUUCAUUCUGGCAGGAUGAUGUAGUGGAGCCUGGCUGUUAUUGCUACCCCCUGGGUCACACAAGGUAGCAGUGACGUGAUGGAACAGCUUGGGCUCUGUCACAGCAACUCAUCUGUCACUGCCCCGCUGAGAUGUGCAGCAGGCCUGGUGUCAGGGUUUGCUGCAGAGGGGGAUGGUCCCAGUGCUGCUCCAGCGCCCACAGCAGGAGCUGUUUCUCGUUAGGAAACUGAAAUGCUUUUUACCAUGCUGCCAAAGGCCGUCUGUAUGUUUAUUUGCUGCUGUCCACCCUGCUGGGAGCUGGUGCAGAUCUUUGCGCUUUGCCCUCUCCUGCCAGAGCCUUUGGCAUGGGCAGGAGGAGGUGGCUGCAGUUGGGUGAGCUGGCACCUCUGCAGAUCUGGGCAAAGCCAUUUGGGUAAUGCCUCUCCUUCCAUGGGUGUCUGAAGACUGGUACAGGCUGAUUGGGAAGUGCUGCCAAGAGAUUGCUGAUCCUUCAGCAGUUCCUGUUUCCUUUGGUCCCUACAGGAGGCUGCCAAGAGAAACGAGCUUGACCAACACCUGCAGGGGCUGCUUUACCAGCUCUGAAGCAGCAUCCCUGCUCUGUGCUCCCAAAGCAUGGGAAGGGCUCUCAUGCUGUCCCGAGCCUUGCAAAACGAGGCUGAGUUUUACUUCCACUCUGCUCCCCACUUUCCUGUCUGUGUCUCUGAGGGUGAACAAGCAAAGAGCUGCCAGCAGGCUGCACUGACAGGCAGAGCUGAGUGUGCUCCUGCCCACACCAUCUCAGGGCUGUUUGGGCUGGGCCAGGCAGGUGUGCCCAAGGGAGCUCCAGGGCUGUACCCGAGUGGAAGAUUGCAGAGAGAAAGUGCUGCAUUGUUCUCUGCCUGCAGCCACCUUGCCUGAACACAGCUCUGAAGCAUGCUGGCACAGAGGGACGUGAAGAGCUAUGGUAAAUGUUAAGGAAUUAUUCUAACAUGCAUCAGGAAUACCCAACAUAGCACUGAACUUCUGAAGACAGAUAUUUUGGGUGUUCCCAGCACUGCAGCAGAACAGUUUGUGUCACUGCUGUGCCUGGUCGAGCCCAUUGCUAUGCACAGAGCAGCAAAGAGAGUGUUGCUAUUGGACUUUUUCCUUCACUUCUUACUUCUUGAAGCCAUGAUUGCAGAGCAGAUUCAAAUUUUUAAUGUCAGAAGAAAGGCCUGAAUGCAGUUAGUAUUGUGUAGUAUUUGGCAAACCAUGCUGGAUUAGGGCAGGGUGAACAGUAGGAGAAAUAUCAGAAGUCCAUUCUAAUCUUGCCUUUCAUAUGGAUUACAAGUUAUGUCACUAGGGACUCAUAUUCCAAACUGGAGACAAGCAGCCCCUUGUGACUGCUGGUGAAAUCCAGCACCAGGAGGGAAAAUGGAGCAGCAGCCAGCUGGGGAGACAGUGCCUUCCCAGGAGCAGCUCAGCUCAGUCCUGGUGCAAGUACAGGUCCCUGGUCACAAACUCCUGUGGUGAAUGUUUGACUCAAGGCCUGUCUUCUGAAUCCUUUCCUCAGUGCUCCCAAGCUUCCCUCCUUGGGCCAUGAGCCAAGGAAUCAGGCAUAUCAACCAACAGACCGUUUGUUUUUCCAGGGGCUGUGUAAACUGUGCUGUUGUUAUCAGUGAAACCAGGUCUGCUCGUGGCCUCCUGCUCUGCGGGCGGUGCAGGGCUCUGAUCUCCUGCUCCUGGGGCUCUGAUCUCCUGCUCCUGGGGCUCUGAUCUCCUUCUCCUGUGCUUUCUGAGGGUGGGGCAACAGCUUGCACGAGUUUCCAGAGCACCAAACACGAGGUGAGCACUCUGUAACUGCUUCCAAAGACAAGCUGGCCCUACCACAGCUGUGUAUUUUGUCUUGCAGCAGAUGUUGAGAGUGGUAGGACAUCAUACCUGUGUGGUUGUGUAGCCAGAAUUGCUGAGCUUUCCAGUGGUCUUGCCCUUGCUCUGAAAUAAGGAUAUGAAAAUGCUGUUCUUUUGAAUGUGCUGUUUAUCUGGUUAAAGGUUUGCUCUGGUCAAGUGGGAUGUAACAAGGCUGGAGCAGUUUUGAAGAAGGUCCAGGUCUGGAUUUUUGCAGAUCUGGAGCAAAAGAUCUAUAUCCUUUGGUGUUUGAUUCAGUUCUGCUCACAGCCCCACAGACAGGAUUUACCCGUGGGAGAUUCUGCCCUGUGCUGUUCUUCAUAAUCAACAACCAUCCUUGAUGUACACCCUGAUAAGGCUCCAGGAAUCCACUCAUCCUGCUGUGAUAAAACUCCCUGUGCUGGUGCUCCAGCCCUGCACACCUGGGCACAGCCCUGGAGCAGCCUCUGCCUCUCUUGUGUGCUGGUUUGGCUCAUACCCAGCUCUGUCUCUCUUUUGCUUCUCCCAUCCUCACAAAACCAAGCUCAAUCUGCUCGUGUGUGUGUGUGCUUCAAGAGCCCUGCCAGGAACAAAGAGAAGUCCAAAUAUUUGUGUUGGGCUGUUACUCUUUCCAUUCAGGCGAUAAAUGACAGACUGCAGCAGAGCCUUUGUGUGCUGUGUGGGAUUUCCACUGAAGCUGGCUCCAGCUUCACAACCUCACCAAGAUGAAACACCUACAAUUAACAGUUGGGUUUUAACUGGAGGGAAAAUGACUGAGUAUGAUUGAAAUAUGGCCUAAAAAAACCCCCAAACAUCAAAACCCAAAACAAAAACCCACAAACAAACCAACCACAAAAAACCAAAACAAAAACAAAACCAAAACCAAACAAAAAACCAAAACAAACAAACAAACAAACAAAACCCUGAGAAAAUAAUCAGAUCUUCCCUGUGUCAGAUGAGAAGUGCCUGGUCUCUGUGUGCAUGCAGAACAGAAUUUUCACUCUGAGCUCUGGGAGCUCUGCUGGUGAUUUCUGUCCCAGAGCCUGGGACACAAGCUGUCAGUCUGCACACAAAUAUUUCAGAGCUGCUUUCCUCUGCAAAUUUUCAAGCUUAAAUCCAUGUGGAGCCUGAGUUUCCUUGGGACUGAACCUCUUUUUGUCCAUGCUGACCAAGGGAAUGGAGAUGUUUGCUAACAAAUUAACUCCUGAACUUCAGAUCUCUGCUUCUGGGAAGAUGCUGGGCUUCAGUGCUUGGUAAACCCAGGAACAGAAUAGUGGGACAGCUCCAGGUGUGAGCUGGCUCAGGACACAAGCUGGUCUGGUGACACUGGGCCUGUUCACAAUUUGGGAUAAAGGAAGGAAAGACAUAAUCCAGCCUUGUGGGAUUUCACAUACCAACGUGCCAGACAAAUUCUACUUGCUCUCUCAAAUAAAUUUGGUGUUCCCUGCUAGUGCCACCAUGAGUUUUCUAACUCAGAAGUUUCUUAUAAUGGAACUAAUUAGGCUUGAAACCUUAAGGAUUGACUCUUCAGACAUAAAUACUCCCUAUAAUUACCUUCUCUUUGGAUGAUAUCUUUAGUGUUUCAUUUUACACAGCAGACAGUACUAAUAUUAUAACAUCAAGUUAAAUCACAUCUACUUUGGGCAACUGAAAAGCUAUCAAAAGUGACAGGAGCUUCAGAAAAAAAACUAAUUUCAGAAAAGAAUCAUGUCAGAAAUCUUUAUGGCUUCCUUUUUUAUCCUCAGCAGAGAAAAGAAGCACCGAGUCUGCUUCAGCGGCUGUUUGCAAGAAGGAUCCAUUUUGGCAGACUCUUUAAGCUCCUUCCUUCUUAGGUCACUUCUGAGAUCACAUAAGAGCUGAGGAACCUCCCAGCAACCUGUUUCACUAAGUGCUCUGCCCUGUUUUGCUUCUGGGCUCAGGCUGGCACUUGAGAGUUACGCCUACCUGGGCUGUAAUAAAGUAUGUAAAUGUUCCAGGCAGAGAGUAGAAGGUGGAUAGAAUCUGUAUGGUCUACUUUAGAACUGCCUAAAUUCAAUUUAUUACCACAGCCUGACCCUAACCUUCACUGACUGACACCUUUGAGGAGUGGGUAGCAGAGAAAUAAAUCCUUUACUGCCCUUGAGUCUUCAUUACUGGCACUUGGGAGAGGUCAAGGGUACAAGGACAGAAUUUUGCUAAACAUAUUUAUUUUUCAAGAUAAAUGAAAUAUAGGUCUCAAACCCUUUGCCAAGGCUACGUGUGCAUCACUAUUUAAAAUCAGUUAAUUGAUAACAGUUCUUGCAAUCAGUCCAAGGAAUUCUUUUGGAAACUUUCUGGAAAAUACAAACCUGUUACAGCCAAUGAUAAGGGGUAUUUCUCUUUAAUAAAAUUAGAGGGUAAACAGCAAAGAGGCCUUGAAUUUGUUUUCUUUUUGGAUAAUGAAAAAAAAACCAGAUGGUAUGUAAGCCAGCAAUGUAUAAGCUGGUCACUUUAUGUAGCUACAGAAUAGGUUUAACAGUGCCUGAAAUCAUUACCCAUUGUGAAUCUGAAGCACGUUUUCAUGACUUUUGUUCUCCUGAAAUUUUUCAUCUCCCCUCUCCUCUGAUAAGCCAUCAGGCAGGGAUUCAGGCAGGCCUGCCCACCAGCCCAGUGGUUCUUCAUUCCCACUUGCAACCUGUGGCACUGCAGUGAGGAGCUUUGUACAGAAACAGCCCAACACUGGCAGUGCUCUUGGGGCAUCCUAUUUACAUGUGAGAAACCUUGCUCUGAAGCUCACUGUCAGAAAAAACUAAACCUCCCAUCUCCCAAGGCCUGUGCCUGCCAGCUCUCCCUCACCUGGGAUGACCAGAAUGAACAUGCAGGUGUGACAGGGAAUGAGUGUGCACCUUGCUAUGGCUGUUCCUACCCUUGUCCAGUGGUUUUUUCUGUGUCACAGUCACAGGGGACAGCUCUUCUGUGCUUUACACAACAGGCUGUGCUCACACGGGUAUCAGCAGAUUACUUCUUUAUCACGGCCCCAAUUUCAUGUCCUGUGACACAUUAAAUUGAUGUUACACAUGUCUUUCAAGUUGAUUCUCCUCCCAAGCAUGUUGGCUGGCAUUAGCCAGCUCCUCUGCUGGCUCAAGUCAGUGUAAUUAGAAUUUUUUCAUCUGGCUGAGAGAGGCCCCAAGCUCCCAUAUGGGUGCUACAGUAAAUUGAGAACGGUUGAGUAAGUUCUGAAAACAUACAGCCUGAGGAUGAUGAAGCACUUGGAGUUUUUAAUGAAAGAUAUAUUAGUUAAAAAAAUAAGACUGUUGACAGAAAAAUCUGAUUCUGAGUGUAAAAUAUGAAAUCUAAAGCAAGUUGUGCCAAGCUCAAAGCCUAGUCUUGUGACCCACGGGAUAAUGUCACCAAAAAUCAACAAGUUUUCUUAAAUCAAAUAUUUCCAGCCAUUUAAACUCUAUUCUUUUGCUUUUUGGUUUUAUCUCUUUAUCCAUAAUAUAUAGUUUCUGAAGGAGAAAAUCUUAAACAUAUAAUCAGUAUUGCUGAAAUGAUACAAUAUCUAUCUAAACUGAGAUGAUUGUUGUGUUUUGAAUGGAAAAGGUACUACAUUUCUUCCCAGGCUUAGGUCUGUAAUAUUAUGUCUACACAAGAAAACUCAAACAGACCUUUAGGGUCCUGAAUACGGGAAGGAUCAGGCUAAGACUGCCACAUUAAAAUUGUGGGGCAUUUUCUAUCUCCUGUAAGUCCCACAGUCCCAUAAGCUUUCCAGUACCAAUUCCUUUGUGUUCCUCAGAAAUUUAUACCUUUGACUAGCAUGAUCCCAGGCUUUCCUAUGACCUCUGUUAGUGCAGUUGAGCACUGGCCCCACAAUAUUUAUUGUAUUUCUCUGCUCUGCAUUCCACUCACCUUAUUUUACAGAGGGAUAGAGGUAUAGAGGGGUUAGAGAAGUCUGUGCAUAUCUUAAUUCUCAUUAUGUUGUUGCUAAUGAAGAGGUGCCCAGAGCUUCCCAGGAAAUUCAUUGCAAAGUAGGGAGCACAAAUGCACCCAGGACUUUGGAAAUGUGUGCUCAAACCCUCUCUUCCAUGCCCUGUCCGUGGGGUCAGACCAUUCUUUUUAUAGUGUUAAGCAAGUUCAUAACCUUUUUGCAGAAGGGGGGACAGAUAACCUUGUUUACCAUAUUUUAUCUUGUGGUUCAUUUUUGGCUCCAUUCUGGUUUCCAAGUAUUUGUCUGAUUUUGUUUAUUUGACUAGAAUGGAAGGGAACUGCAAUUAAAUACAAGUGGUAUUAAUAGCUUGUUGCAUGUGGCUCUGCUUUCUGUGACCAGAUUACACUAAUGUUGCUAUUCAAGCCUUGAAGCUGCAAAAAAUGUCCCAUCCUAAUUACAUAACCCCAGCUGAGGUCCCUUGGUAAUAGGUGAGUGCAUAAAACUCUUCCUGACAAGUUUCUCACGAGUCAGAGGAUGUUGGUAUCCUGCUUAUUAUGCCAUGUUAAUUUUAAAAGGCUCUUGUCAACCAAUAACCCAAUAACUUUUAUUCCCUCUGGGUUUUGUUAGGUUAAUCCAUGAGUCAUGGAAUAUUUGACUAUGAAUUCAUGACUCAUGGGAAAGCACCACGGCCAUCACAGUCCUGGAUGAUCUUGCUGCCGGGUGCUGCCUGGGCAUGUGCCUUCCCUGUGCUUGGAUGGACACCACAAAUGCAUCCUGCAACACUGCAGAGCAUCAAUAAACCCAAAACCCUCCCCUGGCAAAUAUUAGUGUUAACCUGGCUUAUGAGCAGAACAAUUCUCAGGACUUAUAUCCAGGGGAGAGCAUUGGUGAUGGACAGAGAAUUCAAAAAAACAGGGUCAGUCUUUUUCCUCUUGCUUUUAUUCAGAUAUUUGCUUUUAUUAGUGAUGGUGUCUUGUUGCAUUUGACAAGGGACAAAUGACAAAUGCUGACCUGUGUAUAUUUCUGAUCUUUAAUUGGGCAUAACCAUUACUGCUUUAGUUGCUACAAAAAUCAAAGUAGUACAGAAAUAAUGAUGAGAAAUUAGGUUUUUUAAGGCCUUGUCAUUUACAAAGAUAAGGGAAAGGGAGAGAUAGAAGUCUAGGGGACUGAAAUAUCUAAAUACUUCUCAGAAAUGCAUCUCUGAUUUGUCAGGCUAGAGACCUUCAGUCCCAGGCAAGUGCUUCAGCUAAACUGCAUUUCUGGGAAAUUGCUCUGUGAAUUUGUGGACCAGAGAGCUCAGGUCCAGAAAAACACACAUAUUAAAAAAAAAAAAAAAUCAGAUAUCAGAUUACAAAUAAUUUAUCACCUUGCCCUUAGGUCUUCCUUUGCUGUGGGGUUGUAAGUGCUGGAGUAUAGAUAUGGGUGAGUAUGAUGUCUUAGCAGAGCAGUUGGGUUGUUUUUAACAGAAAUUAUUUUAAAUUUUUUAAAAUGUGUUUGAAAGCACUAAACACAAAAGAAAUCUUUCCCAUGAUCCACUGAGAGCUUUUCUUGCAUGCCACUAAUGGCUGCAGGCUUUCAUGUGGGAGAACGAUCUCUCUGGUUUCCUAGAAAUACACAAAGACAAGGAAUCAUUGCUUUGGAGUGCUGCAACACAGUGACAGAUCUCAGCUCUGCACCCAGCAGUGUCCAGCCUUGCUGCAGGGAGCUUCUGUGCUGCCUUUCACAUUCCUGGGAGCAGCCUGUCCUUGUCAGUUGAGAAAACUGAUAACAGGUCCAGAGGAAGAACCCGAGUUUGUCUUUUCUCAAGUGAUCUUUCUGUGUAUCCACAGGAGUGGUAGUAGCAUGAUAGCCUUCAAGGCCUGUUUGUGGAGUAACUCCUCAUCCUGGGCUUUUAGGGAAACUUUCAGCCUCUGCCCAAAACCAAAACACUGAAAACAAACCACAGAACAGGGGAGAGAGCUGGGCAUGACACAACUUGCUUAUCCAAGGACACAGUUUGUCCUUGAGUGUGUCACUGCUGCCAGGGGUUUGCCCAAUCUGUCCCAGGGAGGCUCUAGCAGUGACCUGGGCAGCCUGCUCCCCUCCUGAACCCAUUAGCAGGGGCAGAGCUCCUUCAUCACUGCUGGAGCUUCUCAUGUCUCUUCCUAUCUCCUGUGGCCAUUCCUUGCUGUUAUUCACACAUCUGUAAAUAAAGGAAGCUAUCAUUUCUGCCCAGCUUUACACUGCAUGAGUAAGGGCCUGGCUGGAACAAUGCCUAUUUAAAAUUGUGUGUGCUACUGGUCUGCUUGAAAACAGAGACAACUCUGAGCCAGUUAGUCAUAAAGAGGAAAGUUUAUUAACAAUCCCUUCCCAAGGCAAAGCUGGAAGCUUGCUGGAAGCAGUUAGGAAUCCCAAAUGAGCUGGUCCCAUGAGGAACAGUGCUCCUGGCUGUGCCUCCCUUCUCUAGGGCAGCAGUGCUGAUGCACCAAACCCCAGAAAGAACCCAGCUGCAAAGAAAAUGCCUGACAAUCCUAUUUUUAAACUGGUGCAUGUCCUUAACCUCCCAGGUUCAUGACAGAGAGGAAGAAAUGACUGUUCUAUAAGCCUGCAUUCUUCUGUGGCUCUGCUGUAAUCCAGCUGUGAAAGGGGGUUAAACCUGCUCUGAAAUGGGCACCUCUUAGAGAAGGAGAAGCAACCAGGCCUCUGAUUCAUAACAGAACAGAUACAGGUUUCUCUGGAAGUUAUUGCAGUCUUGUAAUAUUGUAGAUUUCAUUGGUGAAUUUUGUGUCAAAGCUGCUUUUGAGAAGGAUGGAGACGCCAAAGGUAACAAAUGUGAAUUCACUGUCCACCUGGAUUGCUUUGGAAAGACUUUUUUGGGCUGAAGAGUUCUUUCUGACCAUGAAUUCAGCUCUCUGAUAGAGAAAAGAGAGGGUCCUUAAACCUGGAGGCUUCCCCUGCAUUAGUCAUGCAGAGGCCACGGAAGCAGGGCUGGUGCUGGAGUGUGCUGGAGCUGCUGCAGAGGAUCCUGCUGACUUGAAUGGACAUUGGAGAGGAUCCCAGAGCACAGGCUAAAGUGAGGCCCAUAUCCCACCUGAACAAACCUUGGCUUCACCAGGACUGGCACAAGGGAGCCCAUGGAUGGCACACACCAAAGUGUGUGUGUGGCUGUGGAGGGAAGCUGAGGGUGGUGAGAGUGGGUCUGUUCCCAACCAGGACAGAGACAACAUCGUGUAAAGAACUGCAUGAUGAAACCUGCUGAUUUAUGGACAAGCAGUACUUGUUCUGGCAAAAAAUAGCUUCCAAUUAGCCUGAAAACAGACUGCUCUGGGUGGAUUUGCAGACUCUUAUUUAUUGGCAAACUUAAUUUUAAUAUAAUCAGCUGCUUGGCAGGCAGGUUAGGUAAUGAUUCUUGAUGUGAGCACUAACAGAUUUGAACACUGAGCACAGCCUUUAGUGCCCAGAGCCCUCUGCCAGUAGCUGAAAUGCAUUUGAUACUAAAAUGCCAUGGGAACUCAGGAAGGCCCUUGCCAGAGCACCUUGCUGAGUACAUGAAAAUGCCACCUUCAAUAAUUCACAAUGUCUGUUCAGUAAGCUGGUGUGUAUGUGCAGGGAGGGGGGUAAUAAAACAUCUCAGACCUGGCCUGCCAGGAUAAUUCAGUGGCUAGUUAAAUGUCUCAGCACUAUUAAUCAAUAGAGUGGCUCACGGAAUAAAUAAAUCCAGAAUGUAUUAUGACAGGGCUAUAGAAGCACAUGGAAAGCAACUCUCCCUCCCCUGUGUGCCAUGCUAAGUGCCACACUGCUCCAGAGUUAUUUGAAUAACCUCAAUGCUCUAAUACUUCAAAUACUCAGACCUCCUACCAGUGCAAUCCCAUGUUUGAAUGUCACCUAAAUGUUUUAAACUCUGCUCUGCGUGAUGCAGGGAGCUGGCUGUGGAAGUGCAGAUUGCAGACUCCAUCACUUAAUUCCGUGUCUCAUUUCACUGAUCAAGAGCUGAUGUUGUGAGUGGAGGAUCACUCCUUUCCUAAGACAAAAGCAUUUUACCAGAGCUGGAAUUAUGUUUCUGCAGGUCCCUGGUGGGGUAUGAACAACACUCUUGAUACAAUUUCUACUGCUGCUGUAAAUCUGCAGAUGUUUUCAGAGCUCCAGAUUAAUCUACUCCUUCAGCCUCUGUAGGAAUGCAACACAACAAGGCAGUGUUCAAAACUCCCUUAUCCUGGUGAAUUUGGUGCAGUUGUACUGUAAUCUUUGUCUUAUCCUUGCUGUAAAUGAGCCAGAAUCCAGCCUACUAGCAGACAUCAGAAACCAGUAUUAUUAAACAACAUAAUUUUAACUUUCCAUUAAAUUCAGUUAAAUUCCCUUCUAGUCAUUAAUGCCAGGCUAAUAUUUACCUUUACAAUUUACAGAUAUUUGUAGAUUUCCACGUAUUUCUUCCACCAAACUGAUCUUCAGCCAAGCACUGCAUAUUCAGUACUUUCACUCCUUCUGAUGAACCUGGCAAAAAUUCCAGCUUUCAGGUUAGUGUUGGCUCUGCCCAGAUACUGGUGGUGAUUAUGCUCAGCCAUUGGGGUGUUUGUGGAAAGCGGAUGUGUAACUGCCUUAACAUGCCUGAAUUUGCAUCAGACUUUGAAUCCACAUGAAUACAGAGUCUGCUUUUCAUCCAGAUGUAUUCUGAAACUCAAACUCUGAUCUUUCCUCCUGUGCUACUCUGUCCAUCUUCUUUGGCUGUGAAUAUCCAGUUUCAAGCACACAUUUCUGUGAAGAAAAUAAUUACACAGCAGCAGCACCCCUACAACUCACUACAGCACAUAUUAAAGCUCAUCUUCAGGCUUCAGUGCUCAUUUCACACAAAGAGGAGACGUGGGACCAAUUAUAAGGCUCAGCCCAUGUGCAGUAACAUGUUCAAUCACAUCUUGCUCAUGUGCCCAAGCCUCAUAAUCCAGCAUUUCCUCCAGAAAUAUUGAUUUGCUGUCCUGUCCCUUAGUGCUUGUGUCCCUGGGGCAGUUGCUGUAAUGAAAAGAUUACACAGGAAGGCCUUGGAGAUUCCCUCUGUAUCAAGCAGAAGUCUGAGUUCAAAACAGAGAUACACAGCAAGGGAAAGAACUUGUUCUUUGUGAUUGUGUCUGGAAAGGAUUGUCCCAUGCCUUUCAGACACAGCUUCAUGGGUGGCUGCUGGGAAGCUUCUGAUCUCUCACUGGCCACUGAGGGGAACACCAGGCAGGAGCUGCUGAACUAGAAAAGCAAAGACAAGAUCUUGGGAAAGAUGGCUGUCUGGCCCACAGCAGUGCUUGUAUUCAGAAGCUGGAACUGUCUAGAAAAGCAUCAUGAAAAGAUGGAAAUGUCCUAAUGGAAAUCUUUAUUUGUGUUUAUUAUAAAUCUAUACUCUGAGUUUCUUACACAAUUCCCUCACACUUCUGUAGCUUUAACCGAUUCCCCAGCUCAGAGAUAAUUACAUUGUGCCAAGAGGUAAGGAUGGCACUCUUGGAUUACAGGAGGUAGAAACAGCCAUAUUUAUGACUCCUGAUUAAAACAUGGUAUUGGAAAAGAGCAUUACUUGAGUCAUCAGGAUAUCACUUGACCAUUGCUUUCCUUUACAUUUAAAUUAAAAAAAAAAAAAAAGAAUAAAAUUGCAUUAAAUUAAAAAGAUACUUUCAAGACAAUAUUCCAAGGCUUCCCACAGUGGGUGUAUUGUAUGCUUAUAUUAUUCUCCACCCAUUGUAAAUCUCAGCAGUAGAUCUUCCCCCGCUGAUGUUUUGCAUUAGUAAAUUGAACUCUCUACUCUGUCCCCUCAAAGAUUAAUGCCUCCAUCUGAGGAAGUAGUUGAAUACGUGCUGGCAGUAGUGCUUUCAUGAUUAGCAAAUGGGAGACUGUGGGAGGAGAACAGAAUUUGCAUGUGUUGGAUGUUGGCCUAAACAUACUCUCACUGAAUUCUGGACAUCAGGGAAGAAUUGAUACAACACAAGCUUUUAAUCAGAAAACCACAGGAAAAAAAAAAUUGAAGAAUCCUACAUUUAAUUAAAAAGCUUUUCAGCCCUCUUUGUUCCAAAAUGAGCAAAUGUGUCUGCAGAGUGCACUCCAAACAUCUCAAACCCAUAUUUGCUGUCAAGGGGCAUUACAUUUUAUUAGUGGUCCUGGGGGAAGUUUCUAAAUUUUUGUAGAAGUUCAAAAUACUUUCACCGAGCUAUUUUUUUGAAGACGCACAAUUGAAAGAUGUUUGAUUGCUACAAAUGUUAAACUGAUCAUUCAGAGUGCAUGUGAUACCUCAUGUGCCCCUGGUAUCCAGUACUACUUGGUCCUGAUCCUAGUACAGACUUUUAUUCUGCUAUCUUGAAGUCUCUUUUACUCAUUAGAAAGCUACACAGUGAGCCUGCUUAAAAACAAAAGAAAUUUGCCUAAAACAAAACCAAAAUGUCAGCAGAGAGGAGGCUGACUUUGCCACUGGCUCUGUAAACAGCUGCAUGCAAAGAGCUACCUUAGGACCCACGUUUAGUCAAAUCUAACUUACGUAUAACUUUUUUUUUCACAACCAACAGCACGUGAAGGAACAAAUAAGCACACUCAGUACAGAACAAAGGACAUUCAUCAGUGGGAUAUUUUGGCUUCUAAUUGAACAGCAGUCAUAUCAACUUCCUCCUUCACCCAGGACUGCGUGUCUUUGCUGUGCUGGGGAAGGAAAGGCAGAAACACCUGUGGGCACUGCAGAUUUUACCACAGCUCUUACAAGAGUGCACUUGUUAGCCAGAGUGCUCUGGCUGCUUUCCAGCCAAGGCAGAUACACGGUUUUGCCUGCUUAGAAAUCAUCUAAGUAGUUUCAAAACUUUUUCUUCACUUCCUGCCUUAAACUUUUUUAACUAUGACAUUCUGCAUUAGAAAUGGUGGCUUUUAACAAGGGGUAAAAUUAAUUCCCAUCUGUCAUUUGCCAAGUACCAUUUUUCUUUGCAAGUUUGAUGAUGUUUGACAUUUUUACUGGUUUCUGUGUUAGUUUUUAAAUUAACCCCUUAUGAUCAUUAACAAAGGCCUGAAAUUGUAGAUAGAAGUGUGAAAGAAAACACGUAGCAAAAUAUAUUGUAUGUUUUUUAAAAGGAGUUCUAAAAUUAAUUUCUGUUGAAAUUACAAAGGUGCUCUAGUCUUGUUUUGGUUUAAGGGCUACUUCAACAUAGUCAGUUUUCAGAUUCCCACUGAAGAAUAUCCUUGUCACUUUCACAGUUCCCGACAAGCACUAAACUGCUGGAAUUUGAGAUGCCAAUCCCUACCAGUCAGGCACUGCCUCUUUUAU